rnacentral:lncRNA from 1 species
GAUAUUUGAGGACCAAUGAUCCCAAACGGGGAGAAUGUUAUGCCCCAUAAGUUUACAUGAUUAAAUUUUCGAUAAUUACAAACUUAAUGAUGUAAUUUAAUUGAUCCAUAGGUGGAUACAGACCUCCACGAGGAUGAGAAUAUAUUGGGAUGUGGUAACAUAUACUAGAUCUCGCGUGUGGAGUUAAAUUGGAGAAUUAAUUAAAACAGCUGGUGGGCUUAUUGCAAAUUUUUGUUUGGAUAAUUAUGUGAAAUGGAUUAAUAUUAAAGGUGAAAUAAAAGGGUCCAUGGCCCAACCCAAUUUCUGGCUCACAAUAUGAAAAGUUAAGACAACAGAAUAUUGCCUUUCAUAGGAAAAUACCCUAAGUUGCCGCAGCCACCCGGUUGAGUAAGGGAAGAUUUCUGCAACUCAAUGAAUGCCAAAUACUUACAAUUCUUCUUUUAGGAUUUAAAUAUGGGAGCUUCAUAAAGGGAUUUAGGGAUGGAGUUUUGGAAACAUACCUUGUGCUUUAGUUCAUUAUGAAAGAAGCAAUUACAACUCCAUCAAAACAAAAUGAUCGAAGCAAUUGCAAAGGGUAUUUUGGGGUUAAUCUAUGGUGGCAUUAAGAGGAAAUAUAGCUGGUAUUGUAUUCGUACCAGUGGACUAAUUUGUUUAGAGAUGUUAUCGGAGGAAGAGGCGCCUACUCUGGUCAACAAAAGAGGAUAAGAGGAAUCCUUCGGUAUUAGCCGCAAUUAUAAGCAUUGACAUCGUGAAUAUCAUAUCAGAUGAUUUGGCGAGCAACGAGUUUGAGCUAGGUAGAUUUGAGGUAAGUUUUAAGGAUUACUCUCCUAAUAGGAAUUCCAUUAGAGCGAACAUGCUUCUAUGUAUUCGAUGAAAUUUCUAAGCCAUAUCUUUUUAUGCUCCGGUACUUAGUUUACUCUAUUCUUAUUUAGUAUGACGUUAAAUGCAAUGUGCCAAUCUUAUAUAUGCUUAUAUGUAUUAUUAUUUGCUGUGUGCCUUUGGUUGUGAUAUUUAUAUUUUGUUUCAACACUCAUUUAUGCAUUAAUGUGAUCAUAUUCAGAAGGGAGAGCUAGCCGAACUUCCCUUGGUGAGUGCUUUGAUGCCAGGGUUAGCGAUCCCAUGCUCGUAGGGGCUAUUAUGUGCUGGUGAGAUAGGCCGACACUCCCCCGUACGUGUUGCUAGAUCUCACGUACGUAGGACCACUAUGUAUAACUAUUUUCCAGAAAUGUUAUUUCUUUGAAACUAACUUAGUUUCCAGCUUCAGUUUCAUGAGUUAACAGUUAUAAACUCAGUUUCUAUGUUUUCAGUUAUCAACUUACAAUUUUGCUUAUAGUUUCAGUUUCUAGCUCAUUUAUUGUUUACAAAAUUUAUUGCCAUGAUAUUAUCUGAACCCCCUUCCUUUCGUUUUAUGAUUUUCCUAGAAAAUCUUGCUCUAUCUUUUAGAGAUAGCCAAUGAGACUUACUGGGUUUCCUUUGGUGGUACUUAGCCUGUUUGGGCCUGCCACGUUGUGUGGCAGGUGUUGAGAUUAUAGGUGACGAGAUACAUGGCUAGAGACAGACUCUGUGGACUCAGUUGGCGAGCCCUGUUAGUUUUUCAUUGGUGGUUGGAUUUCUUCAGCUUAUGUUAUUUUUUUGGCACAUUAUUUAUUCAAUGCGUUAUAGUUAAUGUAUUCAAAUUUAAAUCAUUAGAGGCUCAUGACUUAGUUUAGUGAGUUAUGGUUCCGAGCACAACUGUGUUAGAAUCAUGUAACUUAGUUAUCAGAUAAUUGAUUUAAUGUAGUUUUAGUUAUUUAAAUUUGUUGCACUUAAUGAUAUUUAUGGUAUUUACACUCGACACGGAUUAAUUACGGGUUCGCUCAACGACCAGUUAGAAUUGGGUGCCAAUCAGGUUCCACCUAAGUUUGGGGGCGUGACACAUUUAGUCUCCAUCUCACUCUAAAAGAUCUUUUUUACUCACUCAAGACUCAUAUCUUAAGAUGGUUCUGAAAUCAAUUAUUGAUUUUUUUAAAAAGUUGAGAGUUUACAUGAAAUAACAAAGGAAAACAAAAGAAUUGACAGAAGUGCACACGUAGAUACAUCCAAGGAGAUUUUGGUGGUAUGAGUAAGCUAAUAUAUCUUGCAUUAAACUUGAAUCUUCUUGGUGUUGUUGCUGUAUACGGGUGAAACCGGACCCAUGAGAUGGCCCAGUUUCCGAUAAAAUAGAUCGAGUAAGGGACAUGAUGACAAGGAGCCGGAAUCGAGGUAAGGGACUCAUCGAGACAGGUUUCGGGGGCACGACGCCCGCCCUCGAGAAUAUCGGGGUCGUAACCUCAAUAUCGGUCCAAAUCUUAAAAGACUUUAGAGAGUAUUAUCGGGCGACCAAACAUGGUUAAAGGGAGGCCGUGAUAUCCGUGACCGGACGAGUAUUGCGGCAUGGAUCUCGGCACGUACCGGCGGAAUUCCAGUGAUUAGUUGAACGAAAUAUAUUUUACUUUUUAUGGAAUUGUACCUAGAGUAGGACUCCUCUACUAUAUAAAGAUGCUCUGAUUAUUCAUUGAGCAGAUGGUAACACGAAUACCAAGGCAAUAUACUAUUAUUUUUCUGUUAUUCAAAGCUCUUACGUUUGUUGAUCAGUGUUUUAUUAUUAUAAGCCCAAGAUCGAAGACAAGUACCUUAUUGAGGUUGCCCUCGAGUCCAUAAUCAUCCCCCCCCCCCAUUUAUUUUCAAAUGGUUUGAUAAUUUAUUACAUCUUUUAUAUGUUUAUCCUAGCAAUAUUUACCGUUUGUAUUGAAUAAAUCCACGUAUCCUUAAAACCACUUACAAAUUUAAUUAUUAUCUGUUUUUGAGGGUAAACAGUUUGGCGCCCACCGUGGGGCUAAGGAUAAUAGUGAAAAUUUGAUACAAAUUUUCAUAACACAUCCUAUUUUACAUUUGUUCUUUGAAGUGUCUUUAAUUUCAGGUCAAAGUUUAAAAUGUUGAAUUCCCAAUAUGCCCCUCUAAACGUGGAUGCUGAGUCCAGUCACCGUGGCGAGAACAAUAAUAUGGUACCUAGUAACGAGGUGCCCCCUGUCGAUCCCAAUGGAGUUCCGACCACGAACCCAAUCGACGCCAACUAACAUGUGGUCAAUACGAAUUUUCCUACCGAUCCUGAGAACAACGUCCGCGGGGGAGUCCGAUCGGUAGCCCAAAAUACACGACGAUGAAGGAGAUGAGGUCAACUUACGAGUGAUCUUCGAAAUACUAUAGGCUCAACAUUCAGUGAUAGCCCAGCUGCAAAACCAAAGCCGCGACCCCAACAGAGUUGAGCCUGAGCCGUCCCAGGAAAUCACUCACAGAAACAAACCAGUCACGGAGAGGCCGAGUGAAGCUGAACCUGGGACUAACCCUGAGAUCAUAAAAAUGCUCGAGGAACUGACAUAACGGGUAGAAUCAAGAGAAAAGAAAAUCGAAUUCAAUGACAAAAAGGUGGAAACCUACAAUUCCAGGGUCAACCAAAUCCUAGGAGCACCACCAAUACUGAAGGGCCUGGAUUCCGAGAAGUUUGUUCAAAAACCUUUUCCUCCGAGAGCAGCUCCGAAGCCAAUCCCAAAGAGGUUUUGCAUACUCGAGAUUUCUAAGUACAAUGGAACAACUGACCCGAAUGAGCAUAUGACCUCCUACACAUGCGCCAUCAAAGGGAACGACUUGGAGGAUGAUUGGAUCGAGUCCAUCCUGCUGAAAAUGUUCGGGGAAACUUUGUCAAAGGGAGCUAUGAUAUGGUAUCACAACUUACCCCCUAAUUCUAUUGAUUCAUUUGUUAUGCUUGCAGGCUCCUUCGUGAAAGCACACGCCGGGGCCAUCAAGGUCAAGAUCAAGAAGUCAGACAUUUUAUAAGUGAAGCAGAGAGAUAAUGAGAUGCUCAGGGAAUUCGUGUCCCGGUUUCAAAUGGAACAAAUGGACCUGCCUCCGGUCGCGGACGAUUGUGCCGUUCAGGCCUUCACCCAAGGACUCAAUACUCGAAGCUCAUUGACUCCACAACAGUUAAAGCAGAAUCCGAUAGAAUAUCCGGCUGUAACUUGGGCCAACAUACAUAACCGGUAUCAAUAAAAAAUUACGGUCGAAGAUGAUCAGCUUGGGGACCCUUCCGGGCCCGUUUAUAUCGUCAGAGCUAUUGACAGAUCCAAAAGAGACAUUGAUCGUCAACCAAGAUCAGAUAGGGAUCAGUAUCAACCAUACAAUGGAGAUCGAAGAGGUAAUGGGUUUGGGCAAAACUCUAUGAGAAGUGAAAGGAGAAGCGAUCGAGGUCAAAAUAAUCAAGGACUCAUGAGCAAAAGUGGUUUUGACAGGCCCAUCGGGCCUAAGGAAGCGCCGAAGUUAUCGGAGUACAACUUCAAUGUCGAUAUUGUUGCCAUCGUAUCUGCCAUCAGAUGCAUCAAAGACACCAAGUGGCCUCCACCUUUACAGUCCGAUCCAGCCCAAAGGGACCCCAACCUAAUGUGUAAAUAUCAUGGCACUCACGGCCACAGAACUGUUGAUUGCCGACUAUUGAGAGAGGAAGUAGACCGGUUAUCCAACAACGGACAUCUCCGGGAGCUCCUAAGCGAUCGAGCCAAAAACUAUUUCAGGAAUAGGGACUCUAAUAAGCAGAUCGAGUAGGAGGAACCUCAAUACGUCAUUAACAUGAUCAUUGGUGGUUAAGUCCCUGUGAGCAGAGGAUCAUUUGAAACAUUUGCAGGAAACCUUCAACAUAUUGAAAACAUACAAUAUGACGCUGAACCCGGAGAAAUGCGCAUUCGGAGUCGGGUCCGGGAGAUUUCUCGGAUUCAUGUGUCUAAUACGGGAAUCUGUCACGCCCCGAACUCGAGGAGCGUGACCGACGCUCAACCGAGUAAACCCAGUCGAGCAAGCCUAAUUUGCAUUAACCGCUCAUCAAUACUCAUGCAUGAUUUACCAUAACAUAAUAAGAUCUUGACUUUCAUAUUAAAUACAUUUGGCUCAAUGACCCAUAUUUUCUUUCUCAUGGUCGUUACACAGCUCUAUAAAUAGAUGUAAAUACCGUGAACAUAAAUACAUGACAAAACUAAAAUCUUUAAUUACAUGACCCACAAUGUACAUGGAGCUUCUAUGACAAUAGAUACCUAUAUACAUAAAAUUAACCAGACCCAAACACCCACUAGAACUGUAGCGGGCUCACCAUAAGCUCAGUAGUAAAGAAGAUCCCUAUCGAAGGUCCAUAUCAUCCUGUAGAAGUAUACCUGCAUCCAUUAAAAGAUGCAGCGCCCCCGGCAAAAGGGACAUGAGUGCAUGUGGAAUGGUACUCGUAUGUAAACAGUCAAAACAACAUAUGAAAAUACGGUAAUUCAAAUAAGAGGCAAAUAAAGUACAUCAAGAAACUACAAAACAUCCAAUAGAAUCACAUUUCAAGUCUUAUUAUACUUGCAUCAUUCUAACCUUAUUUUAGGAUCAACUGCUCCAUAUGAACUAUACGUGGAAUACAUAAUAUAAUGUAAUUGUUGUUAAGGCCAACGAAAGUGGCACCUUCCUCCCUUAUUUUACACAUAUACAUUUCGUAGACUGUCUUUAGUGUUCAUAUACAUAUUAUACACCUAUGCAUCUCAUAGACCGUUCUCACACUUACACAAUACAAAUACACCUAUUCAAGGGCUUGGAGAUACAACAUGAAUAUGAUUAAUUAUGGUAACAAUAAAUGGGCUUAGAUAGCCGUUAGCAUCAAGAAAAUUUAUUAAGAGCUUCCAUUCAAAUUUAUAGAUAUUAUGUCGGGGAUCCUUAAUAACCACCCUCACACGAAGCAGCCCUGCCGCCUCACCACAACAUAUGUGGGUGGAGGUGUAUCACGAUACCAAAAUCUCUACACAAAGCGGCCCUGCCGCCUCACCCUAAUAUAUGAGGGUGGAGGUGUAUCACCAUACCACAAUCUCAACACAAACUGUCAUAGUAGGCUCGCUCAUAGGCGUUCGGCCAUACUAGGCUCUGCAUCUCGGCCAACUAGGCUCGCUCAUAGGCGCUCGACCAUAGUAGGCUCGGUAUAUAACUUACCAUCUGAUCAGAGGUUGCCCAAUAGGGGCCUGCCCAUCGAUUAUAGUUUGAUGGUCAUGAAAAUACUGUAAUACUGUAUAUAUAGGCUCUCUGCUCUCUUGACUGGAAGAAGACAAUCCUCAAUUAAAUAUGAAGUCCCGAUAAGGAGAAUACUGUAAUUUAUGAGACUAGGAUAAUGUAUAUAAAUUCGGGAGUAUGAUCUUCUCUUUAUACCUUGUUAUCAAACACAUGCAAUUACGAGAUCAUGCUAAAAAAAGGAAGGGCUUAGCCUUAACAUACCUGAGCCGAUUCUCUUGACAAUCCCUUUAACACCCAUUGAUUACGACAACACGUAACGGUGCCUUAGAGGUCCAUAGGAAUUUUAGAUUGAACUGGAAAAAGUUGGAAAAGUUAAAGUUUGGAGAGUUGAGAAGUUUGACAAAGAGUUGAAUUUGAUGUUACCGGGCUCGGAUUUUGGUUCCAUAAGUUAUAUUAGGUCUGUUGUGUCAUUUAUGAAUUGUGUAAAAAAUUUGAGGUCAAUCGGAGUUGAUUUGAUAGGUUUUGGCAUGGUUUGUAGAGGUUGGAAAUCCAUUAGUUCAUUAGGUUUGAAUUGUGGUGCGAUUCGUGAUUUUGAUGUCGUUUGAUGUGAUUUGAGGCCUCGACUAAGCUUUGUAUGAUGUUUUAAGAUGUGUUGGUAUGUUUGGAUGUGGUCCUGUGGGCAUCAGGUGAGAUUCGGAUUGAUUACGGAUUGAGUUUGGCCUUAUUGAGCUGCAGAUUAUUCUGAUGUCUGGUUUCCUUAUACGCCUUUGCGAGAGGAGUCUCGCGUUCGUGAAGGGUAUCUGGGAUGUAGGUGAAGUUUGUACCUAGCAUUCAAGAAGAAGGCCUCGCAUUUGCGAUGGUCUAGGAAAAAUGUGCAUCGCGAUCGCAUUUGCGUAGAAGGAUGAGGCCGACUUGGGCACCAGGCCUUAAGCCUUCGCGUUCGCGGCCAGGGACAUGCAUUCGCGUAGGUAGAGCUCUAUGAAGCAUCGCGUUCAUAAGGGAGACUUCACUUUUGCAUAAGUGGAUUUUCGGGUGGUUGAGUUUUGUGCUUCACGCACGCGAGGCAAUUUCCGUGUUCGCGAAGAAGGGCAUUUGGGCAGCAGAUAUUUAUUUCAAAAUCAAGGGUUUGAACCCAUUUUUCAUAUUUUGAGCUAGAGACCUCAGAUUUAGGCGAUCCGUGAAGGGAUUUUCAACGAUUUUGAUUGGGGUAAGUGAUUCCAACUCAAUUUUGGUUGUUAUACAUAAAUCUAUCAUUGUUUUUACCAUUUAAUUAGUAUUUUGCGUUGGAAAAUUUUGGGAAAAUUUGUGAAACUUCGUAGACCAUAAUUUGAGGAUUUGAAGGUCGAAUUGAGAUUGGAAUUGAGUAAUUUUAGUAUGGUUGGACUCAUUGUUGAAUGGGUGUUCAAAUUUAUUUAAUUUUAUCGGAUUCCGAGAGGUGGCUCGGGGUUCACUUUUUGGGUUUACUUUUUGACUUUGGUUAAGGAACCUAACUUUAUCGUAUGGAAUCGAUUUUUAUAGCUUGUAUUGAUUGCAUUAAGUUGUUUUUGGCUAGAUUCGAGUCAUUCGGAGGCCGAUUCACGAAGCAAGG